rnacentral:lncRNA from 1 species
UCCCCCCCUCCCCUCCCUCCCUCCCUCGCCCCCUCCCUCGCCCUUCCCCAAAUCUCGGGUCUGACGUCGCGUCCUCUUAUUCGACUUUUCCUCGCGUCUCCUUCCCGAGUCGCCAAUCGCCGGGGCGCCUUCCAGGCGCGGCCGCCCACCCCCGCGGAUCCUGUGCGCUGGGCGGGGCGGGGCGGGGCGGGAGCCAGGCGCUCAGAGUCCCUCCCCGCCCGGCCGGCCUGCGCCAGGAAGGGGCGCGGGAGGCGCGGGGACGCGGGUUAGUGGAGGGUCAGCUCGCCCCUCGCCCUCGGCACCUCGCCGCUCGCCCCGGCGCGGGGCCUGGGUGGGAACGAGAUCUCCGUCUGGGGCAGGCACUGGGGCUUCACCCUGGCCGGGCCCCCUGUGCAGCUCGCACCUCCGGACUCCUGGCCACUCUCAGCGGCAUGGCGGGGGAGCUAGAAGAGAGCGCGAGGGUCGGGGGCGGAGGAGUGGGUGGGUGCGUUCUAGUCGACUCUUCAAAGGCCAUCUCACUGCCCAGGGGGGCGCAGCAACCCCCUACCCAAGAGGACCAAACCCUGAAAUUUGCCACGUUAACGCAGCCUGUAUCCCAGUGCGAAUCCCUUAUCAGAAAUGGCGGGCUCGGCCGAGGGUCUGGAGGGUGGACGCCCCGGGGUCCUGGGGAUCCAAGACGGGAAGGUGGAGCCUGCAGUGCUAUAGGCGGGCUGGGAUGGUUGGGAUGGGGAGGUGCAGAGGGCCGGGUCGAGGAGGCUCUAGGAACUUUCGGAGAGCGCUUCGAGAAGUUUGUAUACUGGAAUUUUCGGUCUGCAGAGAUCUUCGUUUCAUUACCCCUUCCCCUGCUCUCUGGUCGCCGCGCCAACCUGUUUUCUUUCUACAAGGAUCCUCCCACCAUCGUGGGUAGGGAUGGGAGGCAAGACUUUUAGUUUUAUAGUGGGAUAUGUCCUAAAUCAAACCUGAAACCCCGGUAUCCGGGCGCCCACCUCCACGAAUGAGGACUUGCAGCCGAGAAGGGGGUUGAAAUUCGCUGAAUCGCGGUGGCUCGGGGCUAAACGCUGUAGGCCGCAGCGGCGACCGAGGCACAGGCCAGGCCUGCGGCGGGAGCGCUCCGGGGACAACGGGGCGGUGGCUCUGCCCUGCGGUUGCCAGCUCCGGCUUGGAGGCGGAAACUGGCCGCCGCGCUCUGAUAGAUGAAUCGAAUCCGAAUUCCACCAGAGUGGAGGGAUCGGAGAGUCUUGGUCGGCUGUUUCUGGUCAGUUGGGGAAUGAGCCCCCCUUGGGCACCCGGUUUUGAUCCCACCCCCUACUCUCCGCUUCUUUCUACCAGUCUCCGCACAGGUCAGCGGCUCCAGUACGUGCGAACGCAGAGAAAAUCGGGAAGAAGACGAGAGAACGUUUAGGGGAGACCAGCUUUGGGGUUCGACUGGAGAAACUGAGUGUGGCCUUUUCAGAUUGGCUCAAACUACUUCCCUUCUCCCCUCCCAACCCGAGCCUAGUGCCCAGCCUUGGCCUUAGCUGGAGCCUCUCCGGAGGAGGAGAUGCCAGGGCAGCCCUGGCGUGCAAAUGUUUCCCCGGCGCCUGAUUUCGUUCACAGUUAAACCUGUCAGCCGAACGGCGUAGGGAAUCACGGGCUCACCUUCUCGCGAAAAACCUCGUAGUUACAAAACUCCGAGGCACCCCAGGUCCCGAGCAGAAGCGGCCUCUCUGCUACCCUAGUCUCCAGCUGGGAUCAGCCCUGCCAGGCCAGGACAUCCGCGCCUCACGUCGGGACUCAGGGUCCUAGGCAGCCGAGCCCCGUCGUGGCGCUGGCUCCCCAACUCGACAGGGGCAGUGGAGCCCGGCUCCGGACUGAACUCGCGGCGCGCAAAGCGCUUCGGAGGCGCGGUGUCGACGCUGUGUCAACGCGGCGCAGGGUGUGGGGAGUGCACGGAGAGAGUGUCCAUAGCACACGCUUGGCGCGCACAGCAGCUCUUGCCUGACUCGCACCUGGAGCCGCGGCCCCAGCAGCCGCGUGGACGCCCGAGUGCGUGGCCUCGUGUCUGCGCCAGGAGGGACUUCUCUCUGGCCAGGAAUCCGGAGCCCGAGAAGCCCAGGAGGCGCAGGCCGUCGGCCUCCAGAGACCCCGGGAUGGGCUGCCGCUCCCCCCAGCCACCAGAGUUUCGGGGCCCCGCUCUGGGUCCGGAGAAGCGUCGGGGAAACUGGGAGAAACUUUACCAACUUUGCUCUCUGCGAGGGAGAGGCCGCCCGAAUGGCCGGGUAGCGGCAGGCCGCGGCGCGCGGGGUGGGCCCCCAGCCAGGCCCGGGCACCCGGGAGCGGGCCGGGCCGCCCAAGGAGGGGUGAGAGGCCUGCCGGCUAGCUCCCGGCGCCCCCGCUCCUGUCCUGCGCCUCCCCCAGCUGGCCGCGCGCCUGGGUCUCCGAGCCGCCGGCGACGCGCAGCGCUGGGGAUGGACUGGAUGGAAAACCCUGGUCUCCAGAGCAAGUGAUUACAUUUUUCUUUACCUCUCCGGGAUCACCCCUUUCCCGCCCGACUUGAGAGGUGUCACUCCCUCCUUCUCCUUUGUUUUUCUCUAUUCCUCUGUUCCUCCCACUUUCUCUGUAUUCGAUUUCUAGGUCAUUCCUUUUUCCUUUCUUUCCUCCGCUCCCUUAUUCCUUGUUUUAUUUUUUCCCCUGGACCACUUUUCAGUUGUUUUCUCAUUUUGCUCCUCCCUCUUUUCUUGUGUCUCUUUUCCCCUGACUGACGGAGUCUCUCUCCCCCAUCUUCAUUUCUCCUCCUUUAUCUCUAGCCUCUCUCUCUCUUCUAAUCUCGUAUUUCCUUCUUCGAUUUCUGGUCUGUCUCUCAGGUUCUCCUCCGCGUGUCUUUUCUGUCUCCUCUUCGUCUCCAGAACUGUCCCCUCCCUGGUGGAUGUGCCUUCCCGGAGGCGCCCCUUCUCAUCCAUCUUGGAGAAGAAUAUGUCAUCUUAUUGGAUGCGGAGGCCAGAGCCGGGUGAUGGGGCUCGGCCAGCCUAGCGCCUUUUCUUCAUGCAUAUUGAGGAGAUGGUAAUGAGCGCGUUUGCAUUGUUGCAUGGAAAUGCUGCGUUUCCUGCCUCAGUUCCGAUCCCGCGAGGGUGGCACGGGCCCAAAAGAGCCCCGCAGUGGGCAGCCGGCCUGGUGGCCGCAGCCGGCCCUCGACGGGUUCCCGGGUGCUGGGGCCCCGGGGGAGGAAGUGACCUGGCCGAGCCUGCCGGCCUCUCCUCCUUGGGUCCCUCCACGAGGGCCGGCCUCGCUCCUCUCCUUAAAGCCUCGGGUCGGGAACUCCCGGCUCGGCCUCGCUCACGACACUUCCUUCGCGCCCCCUCCCCACGGGCCUCUGGGUCCCCCCCUCCCCUGAUGUUUGGAGGUCUGUGAUGGAGCACCACCGGGAAAUUAGUGCCUGACAACGUCGUCUAACGGCAGUAAACUGCUACUCCGAGUGACACGUCGCGGGAUCAAACGCAGCCACACUGUGCACCGCGCUCUGCUCACUCCCGGCUAAUCUUGGAGGACGCAGGGCGCUCGGUCAGGGGAGCGCAGGCCCCUGCGUGUCGGGAGCCCGCUCCCGCCUGGGCUCAACGGGACGGAGCCGACCCGGAGGCCAGUCCCUCCCGGAGAAGAUGCGCAGAGCUCCAGAGACAGGACCCAGGCACGCCUCUCAAAGAGACGAAGGCUUGUGAAAGGCGGGAACUCCGAGGGUGCAAACAGCAGAGCUCAGAGCGAACCUACUGCUCCUUGCUGGAAAAUCGGAAGGACACGGAGCCGCAGCUCCAGACACGGCCGAGCAGGAACCUCUGGACAGUACACUUUCCCAGGGAUCCCCCGGUCCCUUCCAGCUCCAUACCAGGAAAGUUGAGGGCUCUUGGUUCAAAAUCAAAACCGCUGGGAUCUCGCCUUGUCUGGAAUUCUGUAGUGCCUGGCGUUUCCCAAACUUCAAGCCCUUGGCUACCACCUCUACUAUUAUUUGCUUAACAUUUUCCCUUAAAUCGACUCAUUUUAAAAACGUAGAUAUAUGUUUUUGGAAAGAAAACUUGAUACUACUACCUUAAAUUGAAAAGUAGCUAUUCCUCACCAUGAAAGGCAAUUGUGAAAGAUAAAAACAGCUCGAUCCACGCACUGUUGACACCUAUCAGCCGUGUGGCUUGCUUGGAGUGACUUCUAGAGGCCCAGGUGCGUGUGUAGCCUAGCCAGCGUUGGAAUUGUUAAAUACUGAAUCUUUCUCAGAAGAAAGGAGAGAAUCGAAAAGGAAGUUUCUCGUUAUUCAAUGCUGUUAAUUAACUCUGUCUCCACACUACCUAAAAGCAUGUUGAGGACCCCAAAACCUGGCCUGGUUUAGGGUUUACCAAUGUCAUUCUCUGACAUUCAAUGACAAUGUCACUGUAUGAAAAAUAAGUAAAACAUUUAAAAUAAAAAUACCUGUUAUUAUUAUUUACCAAAUAAUUGUGUUAAGCACAAUAUCUCAUUUAAUUCUCACAAUAGGCCUACAACAGAGAGACUAUCCAGGGUGGUCGUGUAUGGUUGAGCAGGAUGCUCACUGUACAAGGGCACCCAGAUGAGGGGAUAAGAGGGUCUGAAGUCCAG